CAAUGUAUAUAAAAUGUAUAUAAUUUAUAUAGAAUAUAUACAAUGUUUCUUAAAAUUGUUCUAAACCACUGAGUUUGGGAUGAUUUGUUAUGCAACAGUAGUUAACCAAUACAGUCCAUCAAUAGAACAUGUUAUAUGUUAAACCAUACUAUGCAGCUGUUAUAAAUGGAGAUUUGAUCUAUAAUUACUGAUAUGAAAAGAUGACUAUUCGAUAUUGUUGAAUGAAAGAAAUCAGAUUUUAGAGCACUGUCUAAGUACAAUUGCCCACACAAAUGUACACACACAGAAGAAAGGAUGUUUUGCAGUGGUUAUUUCGAGGGGCAGCGGGGGGCAGGAUUAGGAUUUUUUUUCUUUUCUUUGUAUAUUGUUUGAUUUUAUUCUUCAAAGAGCAUCCACCUUUUUUUAUAAUUGGAAGUAGAGCCAUGACAAUGAUUAUCAUAUGUACUGAGAGAACAAAUAGAUGAGCCCUUUGAGAAUAAAGAGAAAUGGAGUUAGGAAAAGAGGAGCCCAGAAUACACAUAGCCUUGAAAGGUGGAUAGAGUUCAGAUGUGAUGUACAAAGAACUAGAAGUAGGCAUAAUUAUAGUUAGCACUGAUUAAUGCUUACACUGAGUGCACUAGUAAGAGCAUUAUCCCAUUUUGUCCUCAUGGCAACCUGAUGAGUUCAGAGUCUUAACGUUUCUUACUUUACAGAAAAAGAAACUGAGAUUCAGAGAAGAAAUAUUGCUGUGGAUCACACAGCCUGGAUAUGAACCCAAGUCCAUGUCCAGAGCUUAUCUUCUCUCCACAUGCUUGUUCUCAUUGCACGGCGUGGGAGCAGGAGUGACAAGGAAGCACCAGGCAGGUGCGGAUGCUUCUCUAAGGGACAUGUGGAGAAAGAGAACUGAGUCCCGGUAUUUGGAGGUUUUACAUUUUAACAGAUACUACCAAACUGCCCUCCUCCACCCACCAACGGGUCACUGCUUCAUGCCCCCAGGUCUCACACAGUCCUAUGAAAACAGCCCUUCCAGCCUCUGCCUGUCCUGUAGGUCUCAGACACAAGUCUGUGGGACCUGGCUGGGGACCCAGAACUGAGCAGACACCUCCCACCACUAUUCCCCAACCCUGUCUUUCUCCCUCAACUCCAGCCAGGUCUCAGGAUUAGGAAGCCCAACUCAUGCAUUUAUCACAUGGAUAACUAAAUCCCAUUUUUGAGCAUAGACAUAGGGCCCCCAGUAAUUUCACUGCUGCUGAUGCCUGCGCUUCAGAAAGAAUCUCUUUCACCAAGCCUGAGACACAGCCCAGCAGUUUUCAUCCACUUUCAGGACUUAGCGGAGCUCUUGUGGCCCCAAAGCCUUCCUGGCACCUGUCCUUCAGGCAAGGUCACGAGCUCCUUUUGAUCUUCAGACAGAGGCCAGUGAGAGAUCUGACCCCUGUCUGUCCCUGUCGCAAUCAUUUCUAGUGCUGCCACUCCCAUCAGACUGGCUGAAUCUUAAGAAUAGAUUAUUCUGCUUGCCUUUAAAGCCCCAGUUCACAGCCUGGUGCUUCUAGGUACACAGAAAGUGUUUGUCAAGUGAAUGAAGGAGGCAGUGAGACCUUCAGAUCUUCUGGGAGGCAGAACCAUCACUAACAGAUGGGUUUGCACACAGGCCGGCUCGGCAAGGCAGGUAACACAGAGGCCUCUAAAUGCUGAUGUUUGUCCCUUGCUGUGUGCUUAUAACAACAAAGACUGCUUCCUGCUUCCUGCCAUCUUCUCAUACCUAGGACAAAGCUUGGGACAGACAGGCCCUCCAUCCAUAUUUAUUAAAUAAAUGGGCGAACUCCA